UACGAAGGGGGCUAGCGUUGUUCGGAUUUACUGGGCGUAAAGCGCACGUAGGCGGAUCGAUCAGUCAGGGGUGAAACCCCAGAGCUCAACUCUGGAACUGCCUUUGAUACUGUCGAUCUGGAGUAUGGGAGAGGGAUGCAGAAUUCCGGGUGUAGUGGUGAAAUGCGUAGAGAUCCGGAGGAAUACCAGAGGCGAAGGCGGCAUCCUGGCCUAAAACUGACACUGAGACGCGAAAGCAUGGGGAGCGAACGGG
rnacentral:rRNA from 1 species